rnacentral:rRNA from 1 species
CCUACGGGUGGCUGCAGUGGGGAAUAUUGGACAAUGGGGGCAACCCUGAUCCAGCCAUGCCGCGUGUGUGAAGAAGGCCCUCGGGUUGUAAAGCACUUUCAGUGAGGAAGAACGCCUGGUGGUUAAUACCCAUCAGGAAAGACAUCACUCACAGAAGAAGCACCGGCUAACUCCGUGCCAACAGCCGCGGUAAUACGGAGGGUGCGAGCGUUAAUCGGAAUUACUGGGCGUAAAGCGCGCGUAGGUGGCUUGAUAAGCCGGUUGUGAAAGCCCCGGGCUCAACCUGGGAACGGCAUCCGGAACUGUCAAGCUAGAGUGCAGGAGAGGAAGGUAGAAUUCCCGGUGUAGCGGUGAAAUGCGUAGAGAUCGGGAGGAAUACCAGUGGCGAAGGCGGCCUUCUGGACUGACACUGACACUGAGGUGCGAAAGCGUGGGUAGCAAACAGGAUUAGAUACCCUUGUAGUC